rnacentral:rRNA from 1 species
AGUGAACGCUGGCGGUAGGCCUAACACAUGCAAGUCGAACGGCAGCACAGUAAGAGCUUGCUCUUACGGGUGGCGAGUGGCGGACGGGUGAGGAAUACAUCGGAAUCUACUUUUUCGUGAGGGAUAACGUAGGGAAACUUACGCUAAUACCGCAUACGACCUACGGGUGAAAGCAGGGGAUCUUCGGACCUUGCGCGAUUGAAUGAGCCGAUGUCGGAUUAGCUAGUUGGCGGGGUAAAGGCCCACCAAGGCGACGAUCCGUAGCUGGUCCGAGAGGAUGAUCAGCCACACUGGAACUGAGACACGGUCCAGACUCCUACGGGAGGCAGCAGUGGGGAAUAUUGGACAAUGGGCGCAAGCCUGAUCCAGCCAUACCGCGUGGGUGAAGAAGGCCUUCGGGUUGUAAAGCCCUUUUGUUGGGAAAGAAAAGCAGCAGGUUAAUACCCCGCUGUUCUGACGGUACCCAAAGAAUAAGCACCGGCUAACUUCGUG